rnacentral:misc_RNA from 1 species
AGGGUUUUUAUUUUAUACUUUAAAUCUUGAAUUUAUUUUUUAAAUGUUUAUAUUAUUUGAAUGUUUUAUUCAAAUAAUAUAAAAAAUAAUAUAUAUAUUGACAUGGAUUAAACAAAGAUAUAUAUUAUUCUAUGUUGUAUAAACAAAUUGGCAAAAUAGAGAUGGAAGAUAAAAAUAUGGUCAAAGUAAUAAGAGUCUAUGGUGAAUGCCUAGGAGCUUUAAGGCGAAGAAGGUCGUGGUAAGCUGCGAAAAGCUUGGGGGAAAAGCAAACAUUUAUUGAUCCCAAGAUUACCGAAUGGAGUAAUCCAGCUAGCAAGAUGCUAGCUAUCUA